rnacentral:miRNA from 1 species
UGUGGAGAGAGAUGAUCUGGCA